rnacentral:rRNA from 1 species
UCGAGGGGUAUAGGUUUUCGGACCUAGAGACCGGCGCACGGGUGCGUAACGCGUAUGCAAUCUACCUUUUACAGAGGGAUAGCCCAGAGAAAUUUGGAUUAAUACCUCAUAGUAUUAUUGAAUGGCAUCAUUUAAUAAUUAAAGUCACAACGGUAAAAGAUGAGCAUGCGUCCCAUUAGCUUGUUGGUAAGGUAACGGCUUACCAAGGCAACGAUGGGUAGGGGUCCUGAGAGGGAGAUCCCCCACACUGGUACUGAGACACGGACCAGACUCCUACGGGAGGCAGCAGUGAGGAAUAUUGGUCAAUGGGCGCAAGCCUGAACCAGCCAUGCCGCGUGCAGGAUGAAGCAUCUAUGGUGUGUAAACUGCUUUUGUACGAGAAGAAACACUCCUUCGUGAAGGAGCUUGACGGUAUCGUAAGAAUAAGGACCGGCUAACUCCGUGCCAGCAGCCGCGGUAAUACGGAGGGUCCAAGCGUUAUCCGGAAUCAUUGGGUUUAAAGGGUCCGUAGGCGGUUUUGUAAGUCAGUGGUGAAAGCCCAUCGCUCAACGGUGGAACGGCCAUUGAUACUGCAAGACUUGAAUUAUUAGGAAGUAACUAGAAUAUGUAGUGUAGCGGUGAAAUGCUUAGAUAUUACAUGGAAUACCAAUUGCGAAGGCAGGUUACUACUAAUAUAUUGACGCUGAUGGACGAAAGCGUGGGGAGCGAACAGGAUUAGAUACCCUGGUAGUCCACGCCGUAAACGAUGGAUACUAGCUGUUCGGAGCAAUCUGAGUGGCUAAGCGAAAGUGAUAAGUAUCCCACCUGGGGAGUACGUUCGCAAGAAUGAAACU